UUAAGCGACUAAGCGUACACGGUGGAUGCCCUGGCAGUCAGAGGCGAUGAAGGGCGUGCUAAUCUGCGAUAAGCGCCGGUAAGGUGAUAUGAACCGUUAUAACCGGCGAUACCCGAAUGGGGAAACCCAGUGUGACUCGUCACACUAUCAUUAACUGAAUCCAUAGGUUAAUGAGGCGAACCGGGGGAACUGAAACAUCUAAGUACCCCGAGGAAAAGAAAUCAACCGAGAUUCCCCCAGUAGCGGCGAGCGAACGGGGAGGAGCCCAGAGCCUGAAUCAGCAUGUGUGUUAGUGGAAGCGUCUGGAAAGGCGCGCGAUACAGGGUGACAGCCCCGUACACAAAAGCGCAUGUGCUGUGAGCUCGAUGAGUAGGGCGGGACACGUGGUAUCCUGUCUGAAUAUGGGGGGACCAUCCUCCAAGGCUAAAUACUCCUGACUGACCGAUAGUGAACCAGUACCGUGAGGGAAAGGCGAAAAGAACCCCGGCGAGGGGAGUGAAAAAGAACCUGAAACCGUGUACGUACAAGCAGUGGGAGCCCCACCACCAAAGCGUUUCGCUUUGUGUGGUGCACAAAGAAGCGUAACGACAGCACUGAAUGACGGUUAACGGAGCGCAAGCGACGUUCAACAUACAAAGUCAAGCAGUGGAGCGCUUUGGGGUGGGGUGACUGCGUACCUUUUGUAUAAUGGGUCAGCGACUUAUAUUCUGUAGCAAGGUUAACCGAAUAGGGGAGCCGGAGGGAAACCGAGUCUUAAUUGGGCGUUAAGUUGCAGGGUAUAGACCCGAAACCCGGUGAUCUAGCCAUGGGCAGGUUGAAGGUUGGGUAACACUAACUGGAGGACCGAACCGACUAAUGUUGAAAAAUUAGCGGAUGACCUGUGGCUGGGGGUGAAAGGCCAAUCAAACCGGGAGAUAGCUGGUUCUCCCCGAAAGCUAUUUAGGUAGCGCCUCGUGAAUUCAUCUCCGGGGGUAGAGCACUGUUUCGGCUAGGGGGCCAUCCCGGCUUACCAACCCGAUGCAAACUGCGAAUACCGGAGAAUGUUAUCACGGGAGACACACGGCGGGUGCUAACGUCCGUCGUGAAGAGGGAAACAACCCAGACCGCCAGCUAAGGUCCCAAAGUCAUGGUUAAGUGGGAAACGAUGUGGGAAGGCCCAGACAGCCAGGAUGUUGGCUUAGAAGCAGCCAUCAUUUAAAGAAAGCGUAAUAGCUCACUGGUCGAGUCGGCCUGCGCGGAAGAUGUAACGGGGCUAAACCAUGCACCGAAGCUGCGGCAGCGACGCUUAUGCGUUGUUGGGUAGGGGAGCGUUCUGUAAGCCUGUGAAGGUGGCCUGUGAGGGUUGCUGGAGGUAUCAGAAGUGCGAAUGCUGACAUAAGUAACGAUAAAGCGGGUGAAAAGCCCGCUCGCCGGAAGACCAAGGGUUCCUGUCCAACGUUAAUCGGGGCAGGGUGAGUCGACCCCUAAGGCGAGGCCGAAAGGCGUAGUCGAUGGGAAACGGGUUAAUAUUCCCGUACUUGGUGUUACUGCGAAGGGGGGACGGAGAAGGCUAUGUUGGCCGGGCGACGGUUGUCCCGGUUUAAGCGUGUAGGUGUGUGUUCCAGGUAAAUCCGGUUCACUUUAACACUGAGGCGUGAUGACGAGGCACUACGGUGCUGAAGCAACAAAUGCCCUGCUUCCAGGAAAAGCCUCUAAGCAUCAGGUAACAUCAAAUCGUACCCCAAACCGACACAGGUGGUCAGGUAGAGAAUACCAAGGCGCUUGAGAGAACUCGGGUGAAGGAACUAGGCAAAAUGGUGCCGUAACUUCGGGAGAAGGCACGCUGACANGUAGGUGAAGUGAUUUACUCAUGGAGCUGAAGUCAGUCGAAGAUACCAGCUGGCUGCAACUGUUUAUUAAAAACACAGCACUGUGCAAACACGAAAGUGGACGUAUACGGUGUGACGCCUGCCCGGUGCCGGAAGGUUAAUUGAUGGGGUCAGCGCAAGCGAAGCUCCUGAUCGAAGCCCCGGUAAACGGCGGCCGUAACUAUAACGGUCCUAAGGUAGCGAAAUUCCUUGUCGGGUAAGUUCCGACCUGCACGAAUGGCGUAAUGAUGGCCAGGCUGUCUCCACCCGAGACUCAGUGAAAUUGAACUCGCUGUGAAGAUGCAGUGUACCCGCGGCAAGACGGAAAGACCCCGUGAACCUUUACUAUAGCUUGACACUGAACAUUGAGCCUUGAUGUGUAGGAUAGGUGGGAGGCUUUGAAGUGUGGACGCCAGUCUGCAUGGAGCCGACCUUGAAAUACCACCCUUUAAUGUUUGAUGUUCUAACGUGGACCCGUGAUCCGGGUUGCGGACAGUGUCUGGUGGGUAGUUUGACUGGGGCGGUCUCCUCCUAAAGAGUAACGGAGGAGCACGAAGGUUGGCUAAUCCUGGUCGGACAUCAGGAGGUUAGUGCAAUGGCAUAAGCCAGCUUGACUGCGAGCGUGACGGCGCGAGCAGGUGCGAAAGCAGGUCAUAGUGAUCCGGUGGUUCUGAAUGGAAGGGCCAUCGCUCAACGGAUAAAAGGUACUCCGGGGAUAACAGGCUGAUACCGCCCAAGAGUUCAUAUCGACGGCGGUGUUUGGCACCUCGAUGUCGGCUCAUCACAUCCUGGGGCUGAAGUAGGUCCCAAGGGUAUGGCUGUUCGCCAUUUAAAGUGGUACGCGAGCUGGGUUUAGAACGUCGUGAGACAGUUCGGUCCCUAUCUGCCGUGGGCGCUGGAGAACUGAGGGGGGCUGCUCCUAGUACGAGAGGACCGGAGUGGACGCAUCACUGGUGUUCGGGUUGUCAUGCCAAUGGCACUGCCCGGUAGCUAAAUGCGGAAGAGAUAAGUGCUGAAAGCAUCUAAGCACGAAACUUGCCCCGAGAUGAGUUCUCCCUGAGACUUUAGGUCUCCUGAAGGAACGUUGAAGACGACGACGUUGAUAGGCCGGGUGUGUAAGCGCAGCGAUGCGUUGAGCUAACCGGUACUAAUGAACCGUGAGGCUUAACCUU
rnacentral:rRNA from 1 species